GUUUUAUUACUUCCUUCCAUCUAUUUCCUCUCUAAUUCUAUAGGAAGAACAGCUUGAAGCCAUGUAAUUGGAAAGCCUUCACAGAAGAAAUGACAGAACUGAAUUUGAGCCCUAAAGUGCAACAUGGGAGAAGAACUGAUAAAUUACCACAACACACACACCAAUUUGUAAUGUACUUCUGAUGGUAUUACAGGGCAAGGGCCCAUUACGGAGUGGGAACAGCCACAGCAGUCUUCGGGUGCCAGCUCUUGUGAUUCUGCUAGAAAGAAUUCAAACACAACAGAGUAGCAAGCAAACGUUUAAUAGAAUGUGGAAGGAAGGAACUGCAUGGACCACUUGGAAGAGAAGAUGGGUGAUGCUCACAGAAUUUGAGUUUUAAUAAAAUUGAGUCCCCCUGUUCAUGCCUCAAUUUCUCUGCCACCAUAAUCAGCUUAUUAGGUUUUGGAUGGCCCUCAGCAAACUUCCUUUGUGUGGAUCUUGAUGACCUGGUUGCCAGGGUGAUUGGGUGGUUGUGACACCAGUGAGUGAUAAGAACAGGUCUGGUGACUUGGUUAUUGGAGAUAAUGAUGACAUUGUCUGAAACGGUAGUUUCCCUGGAGGGGCUAUAAUUAACUAUAAUUGAGGAAGGGCUUGACAUGUCAGUAGCUAUGUAAUAGCUUUUCUGAAGAUUGUCUUCUUCAACUAGGGUUCCCUAUGAUUUUAAGUAAUAGUUUCCUUGAGAGGCUAUUCUUAUCUACAACGUGGGGAAGGUUGGGCAUUCCAGCUGUCAUUCCUCAAAUGCUUGCCUGUUUUGUUAAAGUUCCUUAGGCCAAAGUAACUCCAUUUUGAAAAUGAGCACCUGCCUACCCAGACAUGACCUUCCUGUUAGGCCUGCCCCCCAAAAGUCCCUAACUACCGAAAUCACAACCAAGACAUCAAGUAACAGUCACAGGACCAGAUGUAUUAUUUUUAACUACUUCACUGUACAUGACUAUAUAGUUAAGAAGUUUGUUUGUUUGUUUUUUUUCCAGCAGGCUGCUGUACCUUGAACAAAGAUAUUCUCAGAGAUGUGUCUCUUGAGGAUAUUUGCAAAGGCUACCCUAAUAUUCUGGAGCUGAACCCGGGAGGGGCAUCCACAGUCAUUACCUGCUGGCUCUCCCUUCACAGGGAUCAGAGCUGCCUUCACGGUGCCAGUUCUCCCUGGCCAAUAUUCAAGAUAGGGCAUGUCUGCCUCUUGCUGUUACUGACCUCCUUGCCCACCACAGAAUUUGACUCUUAACAGCCUUCCCUCUCUACCAGUGAUGAGUUCUCAGAACCCUUCUGCAGUGGCCCUGAGCGCUUUCUCUCUCUCUCUCUCCCUCUCCCCUCUCCCCUCUCCCCUUAAAUCCUGGCGCUGGGUCAGGGCCUCCCCCUGCUUCUGCCCUUCUACUUGGGUCCUGUCAGGGACAGUGACGACCCUCACUGACAAUCUGCUCCUACGUGGGAAAUCAAAGAGGUUGUGGGGACGCCCCUUCCUCUCCUGAUUCCCUUCUCUGGGCUUCUGAGAAGUCUUUGCCAUGGGCUCUGCCAGAUCUAAAAUUCCCCGCCACUCCCGCCUCAGCUGUCUCCUCAAAAAACACUGGCCUCUCCAUUCGACUUCAGAUCUCAAACCUCGGGAGCUCAUUUUCUAUUGUAACACAACCUGGCCCCAAUAUAAAUUAGAUAAUGAUUCCUCUUGACCCAGGGGAAUGGGACU
rnacentral:lncRNA from 1 species